AUACUUACCUGGCAGGGGAGACACCAGGAUCAGAGGCAGGUGGUUUUCCCAGGGCGAGGCUCUCCCAUUGCACUGCGGGAGUGCUGACCCCUGCGAUUUCCCCACAUGCGGGAAACUCGACUGCAGAAUUUGUGGUAGUGGGGCACUGCGUUCGCGCUCUGCCCUG
ensembl:snRNA U1 U1 spliceosomal RNA